rnacentral:rRNA from 1 species
AUUGAACGCUGGCGGCAUGCUUUACACAUGCAAGUCGAACGGUAACAGGCCGCAAGGUGCUGACGAGUGGCGAACGGGUGAGUAAUGCAUCGGAACGUGCCCAGUCGUGGGGGAUAACUACUCGAAAGAGUAGCUAAUACCGCAUACGAUCUAUGGAUGAAAGCGGGGGACCGUAAGGCCUCGCGCGAUUGGAGCGGCCGAUGUCAGAUUAGGUAGUUGGUGGGGUAAAGGCUCACCAAGCCAACGAUCUGUAGCUGGUCUGAGAGGACGACCAGCCACACUGGGACUGAGACACGGCCCAGACUCCUACGGGAGGCAGCAGUGGGGAAUUUUGGACAAUGGGCGCAAGCCUGAUCCAGCAAUGCCGCGUGCAGGAAGAAGGCCUUCGGGUUGUAAACUGCUUUUGUACGGAACGAAACGGCUCUGGUUAAUACCCGGGGCUAAUGACGGUACCAUAAGAAUAAGCACCGGCUAACUACGUG